rnacentral:misc_RNA from 1 species
GAUGAAGAACGUAGUGAAAUGCGAUAAGUAGUGUGAAUUGCAGGAUUCAGUGAAUCAUCGAAUCUUUGAACGCACAUUGCGCCCCUCGGUAUUCCGUGGGGCAUGCCUGUUCGAGCGUCAUUUACCCCUCAAGCACUGCUUGGUGUUGGGCGUCUGUCCCGCUUCGCGCGCGGACUCGCCCCAAAGGUAUUGGCAGCGGUCGUGCCAGCUUCUCGCGCAGCACAUUGCGCUUCUCGAGGCGGUCGAUCGGCGUCCACGAAGCUCACCUCCACCGUUUGACCUCGGAUCAGGUAGGGAUACCCGCUGAACUUAAGCAUAUCAAUAAGCGGAGGA